AGCAUAUCAAUAAGCGGAGGAAAAGAAACUAACAAGGAUUCCCCUAGUAACUGCGAGUGAAGCGGGAAGAGCUCAAAUUUGAAAUCUGGCGGUCCUUGACUGUCCGAGUUGUAAUCUAGAGAAGUGUUACCUGUGCUGGACCGUGUAAAAGUCUCCUGGAAUGGAGCAUCACAGAGGGUGAGAAUCCCGUCUUUGACAUGGACUACCAGUGCGUUGUGGUGCGCUCUCAAAGAGUCGAGUUGUUUGGGAAUGCAGCUCAAAAUGGGUGGUAAAUGCCAUCUAAAGCUAAAUAUUGGCGAGAGACCGAUAGCGAACAAGUACCGUGAGGGAAAGAUGAAAAGAACUUUGGAAAGAGAGUUAAACAGUACGUGAAAUUGCUGAAAGGGAAACGCUUGAAGUCAGUCACGUUGGCUGGAAAUCAGCCCUGCUUCUGCAUGGUGUACUUUCUGGUUUGACGGGUCAGCAUCAAUUUUGAUCACUGGAUAAAGUCUCUGGGAAUGUGGCAUCCUUGGAUGUGUUAUAGCCCUGGGUCGCAUACGGUGGUUGGGAUUGAGGAACUCAGCACGCCGCAAGGCCAGGUUUCGACCAUGUUCGUGCUUAGGAUGCUGGCAUAAUGGCUUUAAUCGACCCGUCUUGAAACACGGACCAAGGAGUCUAACAUGCCUGCGAGUGUUUGGGUGGAAAACCCAUGCGCGUAAUGAAAGUGAAAGUUGAGAUCCCUUCAAGGGGAGCAUUGACGCCUGGACCAGACCUUCUGUGACGGAUCCACGGUAGAGCAUGCAUGUUGGGACCCGAAAGAUGGUGAACUAUGCCUGAAUAGGGUGAAGCCAGAGGAAACUCUGGUGGAGGCUCGUAGCGAUUCUGACGUGCAAAUCGAUCGUCAAAUUUGGGUAUAGGGGCGAAAGACUAAUCGAACCA
rnacentral:rRNA from 1 species